CAGCUUCCUCAGGGGGUGACAGUCCUCCACAGAAACUGAGGAGACAGCACUUCUGAUUCAGGCCUGAACCAGACUUCUAGACAAAAGCUGUCUACUUUGAAGAUGUCCUCAUCUCUUCCCAGCCAGGUGGAGUCUUAGCUGUCCUGUUUCUAGAUGAAAAGUAACUUAAGUAAGAGGCCACCUGGCUUCAGAUGACUUCCAGGAGUGCCAGCCAUCAUCUGACUCAGCAAAUAUGAUUUUAUAACCUAAUCAUGAACUUGAACCACACCAUGCAGAAGGGGAUGUAUUUUUAUCUUUUAUGUAAGUAGGAUCUUCAAAGCGUCUUAGCUUCUGAUGUGUCAUUUUUAAAGGGAGG
rnacentral:lncRNA from 1 species